GCUUAACAAGUUCAUUUUCUCUGGCUUUAUUUUACGUUAUACUCUGAGUUACUAGCAAUGAGCUGCCUGAGAACCAGGAAGGUUCCUUUGAUCUCUGUGUACCUUCCAUGUAAUAUAGUGUCAGGCACAAACCAGGGUUUCAAAAGAAUAAAUAAUGAAAGAUCAACAAAUGAAUGUCAAACAAAGAAAAAUUAUUUUAAAUCCAGAACUACUUGCUAAAAUCAGCAGAAUUUCAAACUCUCUAACAAAAUGAAAUUGUUAUCAUUUUGUUAUUUUAAUAAUUUACAGCUAAAAGCAUCAGCAGCACUUUUGAAUGUGAAUGGUAAAUCCUGAAGACCAUGGAGAUCUUGAAACGUUUUAAUGGAUCAUUACCACCAUUCCUUCUGUCACUUAAAAACUUUAAAAAAUUUUUGUCUGCCCCAAAUGUUCUAAGAAGCAUGAAUGUUCCCUAUGCAUUGGACUUCCUAAACAUCAAAAAAUUAUCUGCUUCCCCAUCAACCAAUGAUUUUUUUCCAUUACCAAAUGAGAGUUCUAAAGGUCUACAAUGACGAGGAUAAAUCACUCCAAUUCUUUUACUCUAUUAAAGGAGAUAUUUUAUGUUCCACUGCCACAAAAAUCCAAGAUGCACACCAAAAAUAGCCUGUGAAUUGAAGACUCUCGUUUUAAAAUGGCACCACAAUUUAUCCUGUUCCUUACUGUACCAUGAGCAUUACAUUAUUCAUUAGAAGUACUUGUAUUUAAGCAGCUAUUAUACAGCUUUCACUGAGCACAGCCCUCCCAUUACAAGGUGGUGAUUUUGAGGGAUACCUUCCAGAGCUAAGGUCACUUUGUGGAAUUCCCAUGUAUGUGACCCCAGUGUGUUUGCAUACACAUGAAUUUGCUCUGUGACAUUCCUGUCAUGUUUGCUCAGUGAGCAAGUAAUUUGCUACUCUCAUUACUCAGGUACAAGGUACCCUGUGGAAAAUCAAUCUUCAUUUUGCUUCAUACAUCACAGCUUCCCCCAGACAUCCAGUGCAUUCUGACUCUGAAAUGAAGCUGUGAGAAUAAGACACAAAUCUGUAUCAGCAACAGUAUUGUCCAAAGGGGCUAAUGAAUGUUACACUUCACUGGGAAACUCCAUCUUGAGGCAGGAGAAAUGUCUAUACACAAAGCAAAGACACUGUUUUGUGCAAAGCAUUUCCUAUACCAGAGGGAGAGAAGUCUUAAUAGCAGAACAAACAAGUAGCUAAAGGGUGGUUAGUGAACAGUUUUGCAGAAAUAUUAAUCUACCAUCUCUUCAGGUCACAAAUCAUUUUCUCCACCUCUUGACAGGAUGAAGUUUGACUUUGAAAGACAAUCCAUUGCAGGAUCCUGACCAACCGUAAUAUGUCAAGCUUCUCCCCAGGGACAGAACCUACUCAUACCAGCAGAUGAAAUCAUUCUCAGUGUUUUCACUGGGGCCAAUUGCUGUUUUUUCAUCCACAUAUCCAACUCAACAUCAUAGCAUAAGUGCCAGUGGGAAAAAGAAGUGGAAAUAUUUUCAUUCUAUAACUAUCUUCAAAACCAAGAAAGGGUAAUCCACGGGAAUGUUUAUAGCAUACUGUGGCUCAAAUGUAUUUUAGAAAACCACUAAUUCAAAUAUCAACAAAUAUUUAUUGAAGACCUACUAUGUUCCAUUGUGGGAAUUAUGGAGAUAAAAUAAUUAACAAAAGAAACUAAGUCAUUCCCCCUCAUGAAAUUUAUGUUCCAGGAGAGAGAAAGUACAUGAAUAUUUAAAUAAACCAAUGUGACUAUUUCAAGUGUGCAUCAGGGCUAUGAAAAAAAUAAAAAUAAAAGAGAGCCAUGUGAUAGACAGUGAUGGAGAGGUAGAGGAUUCAAAGCAGUAUUAGAUAGGAUCAUAAAAAAGAUAUUAGCCAAAGGUACUAGCCAUGAGAAAUAAAAGUGAAGGAAAGCAUAUUCUGGGUGAAAAAAAAAAUAGAAAAAUAGUGAAAUAGAGAAGUCAGUAUGGCUUGAGUAGGUAAAUAUGAGUCAGAAAAGGGGUACUGGCAAGAAUGAGAUCUAGGAGGCCUUGAUGGCUAUAAUCAAGUGUUUGGGUUUAUUGAAAGUGCAGUGAAUGGCCAUUGGAAAGUGGAAGCGGUGGGAGCUGUAAAGCAAUAGAGCAAAUGACAUGAUCUCUUUUAAAAAAUGUGUUUGCAUAGAUAAAGAGUUGUAGUGGGUAGAUGCAGCAGAAUCAAGAGCAAUGGCGAGGAAGUUGGGGCCACGGCAGGGAAGUUAUGAUGAUGGCUUGACCUGGGAAGGUAUCAGCAGAGAUAAAGAAAAGCACACAUACUUGUGAUAUGUUUUGGGUAUAUAUACCUCAGGACUUGUCCAAAGAUUUGAUGAGAACAUAGUAUAGAGAAUAUUGGUGUCAUUAGUAAGUAAGGUGAGGGGAUGAAUAAUUAUCUUUUGGACAUAGAGAGUUUGAGAAAACAGAUGUACAAGAUGUUACUUAGGAAGUUGGGAGCACAAAUCUGGAGUUUAGGGAGAGGUAAAUUCUGGGGUACAUAGAUGAUGUUUAACUCCAAGUAUCCAAAUGAGCUCACCCAGGGUAAGAUUGCUAGGUGGAAUAUAGGACAGCAGCUAAAUAUGAAUUUCAGACACAAUGAGCAACUUUUUUGGCAUAAGCAUGUCCCAAAGAAUAGUGGAAUGUUCUUUAAGGGUAUAAACUUGCAACUAGUAGAUUAAAAGUCCUAGAGAUCUAAUGCACAAUAUAGUGUUUAUAAACAAUAGCGCUGUAUUAUAAAUAUCAAACUUGCUAAGGACUAGAUCUUAAGCAUUCCCACCACAAGAAAGAAAGAGUAAUUAUGUAAUGUGAUAGGGUGUUAGUUAAUGCUACAAUGGCAGUCUUAUUGCAAUAUAUAAAUUUAUCAAAUCAACAUGUUGUAUACCUUAAGCUUAUAUAAUAUUACAUGUCAAUUAUAUCUCUACAAAAGUAUGUCCCAAACAUUGUAUGAAACAUACUUAUACAAAGGUAUAUCCCAACAGUUAAUGUGAUAGAUAAUGCAUAGAAAGGAGGAAGGGAGGAAGGGAAAAGACAGCUACAUGUGUGUGUAUAUUACAUGGAACAUACGUCACUUAAAAAAAAAAGGGUACAUGAAAUUCAAAUAUAACUGGACAUCCUGUAUUUUUAAUUGCUGUAUCUGGCAACCCUCACUGAGGGUAAGAUUUUAAAUAGGAAAGACCAAGACCUAGUACACUCCAAGCUUUAGCAUUGGAACAGAGUGAGAGUUCAUAAGUGUUUCUAAGGAAACUUAGACAGAGAUGCCAGUCAGGAAAGUGUGCUGUCACGGGCACCAAGAGAAAAAAGACAUCCCCCAAAGAAAGAGACACCCAACUGAGACCAAAGUUUUGACUGUUGCCCAGAGAUUGAAUAAGAUGAGCUCAACAAAUAACUAUGACAGUGGACAGCAUGGAAGCAAGCCUUGGUCACCCUGAAAACAACAGCAACAGUGAGGUGGAAGGAACAGCAGACCUUUUGGAGUGGGAUAAAGAGAUGAAGAAGUGAAGACAGCGAAUGCAGAAAAAAGGGUAGGAGUUAUGGAUAGUUGUUGGAUAGGAAAUGGAGGAUAUGGUGUAUAUGUUGGUAAGAAUGAUCUGGCAGAGAAGGAAAAGUGGGCAACUCAGGAAUGAGAAGGGAAAAAUGGCAGGACCAAAACCCUGAAAAGAAAGGAGAUCCACAUGAUGAAUGGGUUGACUUACAGUAAUGGAAACAAUUCUUAGCAUUUUCAAAUAAAGAAGAUAGGGAAUGUGGAUGUGGUUUCCACUGGUUUCAAAUUUCAAAAAUGACUUCAUAGAAAUAUGUACAUAAAAUAGCCCUAUGUAUAGUUGAGUAUUUUUCCUAAAUUUUAGUUUGUUCAAAGUUAGCUAUUAUAAUUCACAUAAACAAAAGUAGACAUAUUCAAAAUAAGUUGCUUGUUUUAAGAUGAGUUGUUUCUUUCUUUUUUUUUUCUUUUCUUUUUUACUUUUUUUUUUUUUUUAAUUUUCUUUAGGGCUAUAUCUGUGGCAUAUGGAAAUUCCCAGGCUAGGGAUCAAAUUGGAGCUGCAGCUGCUAAGCUAUGCCACAGCCACAGCAACAUGGGAUCUGAGCUGUUUCUGUGACGUACUCCACAGCUCGUGGCAACACCAGAUCCUUAAUCCACUGAGUGGUGCCAAGGAUUGAACCCACAUUCUCAUGGACACUAGUUGGGUUUGUUACUGCUGAGCCACAAUAGGAACUCCCAAGAUGCUUUGAAUUUUUGUUAGAUAGUUGUUUAGGGGAAGAAAGGAGUUCACUUUUACUUUCCCAUAGUUGACUUUAUUUCUGUUUAAUAUGGGAAUUAUAAAAUAGUCUCCAAACUUUCAUAACAUCAAGGUUGAAGUUUUUCUAAAUGGAAAUCAGAUAUUCUUAAAUAGCAUUUCCCCUAACAAUAGCACCAUACCAUACAUCAUUAAGUAGGUAAGUUUUGCUAAUACAAAGUGAAAGCAAAUACUGCCAGACCCCAGAGAAACAAAGGUCAGUUGCUGUGGGAACAAUGCUUUGGACUUCUUGACCUUGGUGUGUAUUGCUUAAGAUAGAUAUUUGCAUUGCAUCUACUCCAAAAUAAAAAGAAGGUAUUCAAAAAUACAGCUAUAAAAGCAGCUCAAGCAGCAAAGAGACGGUGCUGCAUUGGGGCAACACAAAAAGAAACACUAGAGACAUUUUAAAAACAGAUAUAAUAUCUUUAGAACAUUUCUCUAAGCAUCAUUUUUCAGUUACCUCAGGUCCUGAUAUUUGUAAAUGAACACCAUUAUUUGCUCCAUAAUACAUCAUGUUCUUGUUAACAAAAGGAUGGUAGUCUGGCAAACACAAUUUUCUGAUUUAUUAAAGUUUCAUAGUAAGGAUUAUCUGUAUGGUUCCUGUUAUUUUUAAUACAAAGUUCACAGCUAAAACAAUCUCAUAUCCUUUCAAACAUUUAAAGGAAUAUAUCUCCUAUCCAUAUCCCACAUUUGAAGGUAAAGUGAUACUGCCUUUAGAACUGAUAAAGUGUAGGUGCAGAAAAGAAUUCUUAUUGUUAAACCAACUAACAUGUGGUUUUCUAUCAAUAACACUAUCCAGAUUAAACAGGCCUCUUUUUCAGCAUGGUUACAAUUUAAAAUUUCCACCUUCCCUGUAUUUGGAUAGUGUUUGUCUUAGAUUCUCUGUAUGAACACAACGAACACAAAUGGAUCAAAAUCUAAGCUUCAUAAGAGCAGAGGCCUUAUAUACCUUGCAGUGUCUGGUAUCCAACAGAGAGUCAGUAAAGGAUGGAUGGGUGGGUGGCCAAAGGGAAUAUGUAGAGAGGAUAUUAUGAUAUUUAUUAAGAAAGAUAAAAAAGAGAUCAUAAAUAUUUUCUUUCACUCUCAACACUUCUAUGUAACAUAAUAUUGGAAGUCAUAACCACAGCAGAAAGGAAGGAAGGAAGGAAGGAAGGAAGGAAGGAAGGAAGGAAGGAAGGAGGAAGGAAGGAAGGGAGAGGGAGAGAAAUAAAAGGUAUCCAAAAUGGAAGGGAAAAGAUUAAAUUGUCACUAUUUGCAAAUGACAAGAUAUUCUAUAUAGAGAAUCUUAAAGAGUCCACAGAAAAAUUGUUAGAAUUAAUAAAUGAAUUUAGCAAGGUAGCAGGACACAAGAGUAACACAGAGAAAUAUGUUGCAUUUCUUUACACUAACA
rnacentral:lncRNA from 1 species